CCGGCGCACGGGUGAGUAACACGUAUCCAACCUGCCGUCUACUCUUGGACAGCCUUCUGAAAGGAAGAUUAAUACAAGAUGGCAUCAUGAGUUCACAUGUUCACACGAUUAAAGGUAUUCCGGUAGACGAUGGGGAUGCGUUCCAUUAGAUAGUAGGCGGGGUAACGGCCCACCUAGUCUUCGAUGGAUAGGGGUUCUGAGAGGAAGGUCCCCCACAUUGGAACUGAGACACGGUCCAA
rnacentral:rRNA from 1 species